AUACGUAGGGGGCGAGCGUUGUCCGGAAUGAUUGGGCGUAAAGGGCGCGUAGGCGGCCCGGUAAGUCUGGAGUGAAAGUCCUGCUUUUAAGGUGGGAAUUGCUUUGGAUACUGUCGGGCUUGAGUGCAGGAGAGGUAAGUGGAAUUCCCAGUGUAGCGGUGAAAUGCGUAGAGAUUGGGAGGAACACCAGUGGCGAAGGCGACUUACUGGACUGUAACUGACGCUGAGGCGCGAAAGUGUGGGGAGCAAACAGGAUUAGAUACCCUGGUAGUCCACACUGUAAACGAUGAAUGCUAGGUGUAGGGGGUAUCGACCCCUUCUGUGCCGCAGUUAACACAAUAAGUAUUCCGCCUGGGGAGUACGGCCGCAAGGUUGAAACUCAAAUGAAUUGACGGGG
rnacentral:rRNA from 1 species